GAAUGUUACCACAAGAAAAAAACAACUGCAAACUUAUGUUUACAAUAAGACGAAAGCGCGAAUAUAUAGUUACGAUUUAGACAUAUAUGAGACAUGAAACUAUAACAAAGCAUUGUUGGCAAAGGAAAAUAAUCGUCGAUAGAUCUAAAAUCAUCAACAAAAAGGGAAAUGACGUCAAACAAGCUUAUCAUCAUUGUUCUUUUCCUGGCUGCGUUUUGUUUGCCUGGGAUGUUGGGAUCAGGUGGUGGUACUGGUUGUAGAGCACCAGCAUUUUUUUAUGGACCAGAAUGCAGGGCCUCAGGAUCUGGAAGACUGAACUCUAGAAUCGCAUAUUAUAUCGGCUUUUUUAAAAAGACACAACUUUGCUGCAAAGCGUAUUCCUGCACAAGAAAAAACUGCAAUCUAAUUGAUGUCGGAUGUAGCAACAAUGUCAAAUUGGAAACAGCAAGUCUGCCCUGGGAUAACGCCGUUGAGACGCCAAGGGUGCAAUGUAAAGGCAGUCCUAAUGAAACAAAUUAUUAUUUUUAUUAUUAUUAUACGUGAAUACAUAAUACAUUUUUUACGAAUGCUUACACGUUUUAAGCAACAUACCUUCAAAUGUGUGAGUAUAUGUUUGUGUUAAAUAAGAAAUUGUAAUAAUGAGUAAAAUAUUUACAAAUCAUACAAGAAUUGUACCUGACGUACUCAACAUCAAUGACAAACAAAAAUAAAACUCUCAAAUAUCACAGGGUAGAAUAUUUGUGAUACAAUAGUAUAUUUGUCAAUUUUGUUUUAUAUAAUAAACAAAGCGGAUAGUUAAUAUUGAAGCUUUUUUUUCUAAGAAUAAAUAUGUUUUUUUUUUAAUAUUUUAAUGUUUUGAAAGAAAUUCUUAACUAAACUUGAUGCUUUCCAUUUGAAGCGGAUUUGUCUUGAAUGAGUACAUUUUCAAUCAGUAUUUCAAAUAUUGAUAAAAACAAUACGAGUGUAUCAUAUAUAUAUUUUUAUAAAAUAUUGCUGAUAAAAAUUGUUGAUAAAUUUCUUCUAUGUGAAAUAGUAUGAACAUUUAAAUAUGAUGAAUAAUAUUAUUCUUUUUCUAGAACGAUUUAUUACCUGCUAUAUGAAUAUAUGUAAUAUCAGUUCAUGUAUCUCGAACUUGCAAACAAUAUUCAUAUAUAAUUCUUUCUUGGUUUGUUAUUAUGUCUGAUACUAAUUACAAUCAACAUAAUUAUUUAUAUUAUAACAGAUCGUCCUUUAUAGAUCAAUUCCCUUUUAAAGCGGGCUUUGCAGAUAACCGUCUGUACAAAUAACAAAAACAUAAAUGUUAUUAGAUAAUAAAAGAUAUGGAAAUA